rnacentral:lncRNA from 1 species
CUGUGAUAGGUAUGAUUAAUGUGAAUAAAGCCAUUUGUAGGUUAGUUCCCCUUGACCUACUGAGAGGAUCAUUGGCUUUUGGUCAGCUUUCACUAUCAACCACAAUUGCUUGGGAGAUGAAUAACAAAACAUCUUCAUAUCUAGGCCUGGUACUGGACAGACAGUGGUGGUAUUGUUGGAGCACUAGAAGGACCUCAAAGUAGAACUGACCGAUGAAUUUUAAAGGACCGACCGCGGACAGCUUCUCUCACUCCCGGAUGAUUGUACAGCAAGCAGUGGCCGUGCUAACAGGUACGUGGGGUCUUGGAAGCUCGCUUUUCUCCCUGGUUCCUCUGUUGUAACAUGGGAAUGACAGCAUCUGCAUCCCAGAGCUGCUGGGAGGAUCCAGUGAGGCAGUGUUAGGAAAGUGCUCUCUGGCACAUGGUUGUUGAGCUAUAGGCCGGAGGAAGCUCUGGGUUUGUGGAGAACAGAGUUCUUUGAAUAAUCAGGCUGAAGUCAUCCGCAGACUCUGGAGAAAGUUCAGAGUAGCUCGUUGCAAAAGGGCAGCACUGACAUUGCCCCAGGAAGCAGCCUAAUCUUUGGCUUUGGGAAUUUGUAUAUUUUAGAUAUGAUCAGAGAAUAGUGAGGUUGGGGCAGCUGGGUGGAUACAGAGCCUGGAGUUAGGAAGGCUUAUUUUUCUGAGUUCAACUCUGGCCUCAGACACUUUUAGCAGGGUGACUCUGUUUGCCUCAGUUUCCUCAUCUGUAAAAUGAGCUGGAGAAGGAAGUGGCAAAGCAUGUUGGUAUCUUUGCCAGGAAAAUCCCAAAAGGGGUCAUGAAGAGUUGCUUGUGACUGAAACAACCCAAUGACCACAGUGAUGUUUGCUCUACUUUUAAGACAGUUGGGUGGUAGCCAGGGUGAGAUGGAUUGUUUUAGAUAAUGGAAGAUGAGGACUAGUGGGUUCUCUGAGGCCUUGAGCACGUGAAAGUGGGGGUGGGGAAAGGGGAAUUUCCUGAGCAAGACUGAAAGGCCAAAAAUAGCCUGAGAGAACAAUGAAACAGUGAGGAGCAACUUGGGCAGAAAGCUGCAAACGUUAUUGGGCUUGGCCACUGGGUCAGGCGUUUUAGCCUAAUUGCUGAUCCUUGUUUCAAGGUAGGCAUCAAUUUGGGGGAAGGAUAGCUGUCUUGUUUCCAGAAAUGGCUGCUGUAAAAAUCAAAGAUGUCA